rnacentral:misc_RNA from 1 species
UUUUUUUUGUCUUAUAAAAAAUGUAAAAUUUUGUUUUUUAAAGGGUAAAACUCAGAUUUUUUAUGUAGAGUUCAUAAUCAAGAAGAGAUUUCUAUAAAGUACAAGAAGACAAAAAUAUGACAAUAGAAAAGGUAGAAGAAACCAAAACUAAUUGCCAACUAAUCAGCCCAUGCCAGCCCAGUUGUAUCACUUAAGCAUAUGCAGAGAGGUCUCGUUGACCUCAGCAGAUAACUAAGCAAUCUUAUCUCUCAGUUGCUGCAUCACAGACCCUUGCAAAAGCAUGGCUGACCAUCCUCCCUCUCCUCCUGCAAAGGCAGAACAAAUAUCAGAGUGUCUCCAAGAAUUGGUAGCCAAUAAAGGCGGAGAACCACCAGGAAGAUAUUGCUACAAAGAUGGUGUUGGUGAAGUCCUAGACACUUCUUCUCUUCCACUGAUGAAGAUUCCAAUUAUUGAUAUUGGUCUUCUUGCUUCUCCAACAUCGAUCUGCAGAGAAGAACUUGAAAAACUCCAUUCUGCUCUCAGCUCAUGUGGCUGCUUUAUGGUCUGGUUUUAUUAACGUGUAUACUACUUGCCUUUUCUCAUAUGGAUUCAUCACUUAUGCCUUCUCAUCAUUGAAUUUCUCAGUCAAUAAAUCAUGGGAUGACAAGUUCGUUCUUGGACGAAGUGCGGUUAGCUACCAAGAAAUUCUUUGCUCUUCCCAUGGAAGAGAAGCAGAAAUAUGCCAGAGAAGUUGACGCCAUGGAAGGUUAUGGGAAUGACAUGAUUCUUUCAGAAGAUCAAGUGCUUGAUUGGAAUGACCGACUAUA